rnacentral:rRNA from 1 species
UACGGAAGGCAGCAGUGGGGAAUAUUGCACAAUGGGCGCAAGCCUGAUGCAGCCAUGCCGCGUGUAUGAAGAAGGCCUUCGGGUUGUAAAGUACUUUCAGUCGUGAGGAAGGUGUUAAGGUUAAUAACCUUAGCAAUUGACGUUAGCGACAGAAGAAGCACCGGCUAACUCCGUGCCAGCAGCCGCGGUAAUACGGAGGGUGCGAGCGUUAAUCGGAAUUACUGGGCGUAAAGGGCACGCAGGCGGUUAAUUAAGUUGGAUGUGAAAUCCCCGGGCUUAACCUGGGAAUGGCAUUCAAGACUGGUUAGCUAGAGUCUUGUAGAGGGGGUAGAAUUCCAUGUGUAGCGGUGAAACUGCGUAGAGAUGUGGAGGAAUACCGGUGGCGAAGGCGGCCCCUGGACAAAGACUGACGCUCAUGUGCCGAAAGCGUGGGGAGCAAA